rnacentral:rRNA from 1 species
AUGGGAACGCGAAGAACCUUACCUACUCUUGACAUCCAGAGAACUUAGCAGAGAUGCUUUGGUGCCUUCGGGAACUCUGAGACAGGUGCUGCAUGGCUGUCGUCAGCUCGUGUUGUGAAAUGUUGGGUUAAGUCCCGCAACGAGCGCAACCCUUAUCCUUUGUUGCCAGCGGUUCGGCCGGGAACUCAAAGGAGACUGCCAGUGAUAAACUGGAGGAAGGUGGGGAUGACGUCAAGUCAUCAUGGCCCUUACGAGUAGGGCUACACACGUGCUACAAUGGCGCAUACAAAGAGAAGCGACCUCGCGAGAGCAAGCGGACCUCAUAAAGUGCGUCGUAGUCCGGAUUGGAGUCUGCAACUCGACUCCAUGAAGUCGGAAUCGCUAGUAAUCGUAGAUCAGAAUGCUACGGUGAAUACGUU